rnacentral:rRNA from 1 species
UACGAAGGGGGCUAGCGUUGUUCGGAAUCACUGGGCGUAAAGCGCACGUAGGCGGAUCUUUAAGUCAGGGGUGAAAUCCUGGAGCUCAACUCCAGAACUGCCUUUGAUACUGGACGGCUCGAGACCGGAAGAGGUUGGUGGAAUUGCGAGUGUAGAGGUGAAAUUCGUAGAUAUUCGCAAGAACACCGGUGGCGAAGGCGGCCAACUGGUCCGGAUCUGACGCUGAGGCGCGAAAGCGUGGGGAGCAAACAGG